rnacentral:rRNA from 1 species
CGAGUGGCGGACGGGUGAGUAAUGUCUGGGAAACUGCCCGGUGGAGGGGGAUAACUACUGGAAACGGUAGCUAAUACCGCAUAACGUCGCAAGACCAAAGAGGGGGACCUUCGGGCCUCUUGCCACCGGAUGUGCCCAGAUGGGAUUAGCUUGUUGGUGAGGUAACGGCUCACCAAGGCGACGAUCCCUAGCUGGUCUGAGAGGAUGACCAGCCACACUGGAACUGAGACACGGUCCAGACUCCUACGGGAGGCAGCAG